CAGGGCUACACACGUGCUACAAUGGCGCAUACAAAGAGAAGCGACCUCGCGAGAGCAAGCGGACCUCAUAAAGUGCGUCGUAGUCCGGAUUGGAGUCUGCAACUCGACUCCAUGAAGUCGGAAUCGCUAGUAAUCGUGGAUCAGAAUGCCACGGUGAAUACGUUCCCGGGCCUUGUACACACCGCCCGUCACACCAUGGGAGUGGGUUGCAAAAGAAGUAGGUAGCUUAACCUUCGGGAGGGCGCUUACCACUUUGUGAUUCAUGACUGGGGUGAAGUCGUAACAAGGUAACCGUAGGGGAACCUGCGGUUGGAUCACCUCCUUACCUUAAAGAAGC
rnacentral:rRNA from 2 species